CAGUUGGGGCCCCGCCCCGAUCAAGAUACCACCCCUUGCAUUUUGAGUACCUCUGUUUCCUCGGCGGGCACGCCCGCCAAUGGGGACCACAAAGAAACCUCUUGCAGUUGCAGUAAACGUCAAAAACAAAACAAAAAUCA
rnacentral:misc_RNA from 1 species